rnacentral:tRNA from 1 species
GGAAGCGUAAGCAGGGCUGGUGCCGGCCCCGGACUUCAAAUCCGGUGGGGAUCGCGGCGACGCGGUCCCGGCGGGUUCGAUUCCCGUCCGCUUCCGCCA